UCGAACGAACUCUGGUAUUGAUUGGUGCUUGCAUCAUGAUUUACAUUUGAGUGAGUGGCGAACUGGUGAGUAACACGUGGGAAACCUGCCCAGAAGCGGGGGAUAACACCUGGAAACAGAUGCUAAUACCGCAUAACAACUUGGACCGCAUGGUCCGAGUUUGAAAGAUGGCUUCGGCUAUCACUUUUGGAUGGUCCCGCGGCGUAUUAGCUAGAUGGUGGGGUAACGGCUCACCAUGGCAAUGAUACGUAGCCGACCUGAGAGGGUAAUCGGCCACAUUGGGACUGAGACACGGCCCAAACUCCUACGGGAGGCAGCAGUAGGGAAUCUUCCACAAUGGACGAAAGUCUGAUGGAGCAACGCCGCGUGAGUGAAGAAGGGUUUCGGCUCGUAAAACUCUGUUGUUAAAGAAGAACAUAUCUGAGAGUAACUGUUCAGGUAUUGACGGUAUUUAACCAGAAAGCCACGGCUAACUACGUGCCAGCAGCCGCGGUAAUACGUAGGUGGCAAGCGUUGUCCGGAUUUAUUGGGCGUAAAGCGAGCGCAGGCGGUUUUUUAAGUCUGAUGUGAAAGCCUUCGGCUCAACCGAAGAAGUGCAUCGGAAACUGGGAAACUUGAGUGCAGAAGAGGACAGUGGAACUCCAUGUGUAGCGGUGAAAUGCGUAGAUAUAUGGAAGAACACCAGUGGCGAAGGCGGCUGUCUGGUCUGUAACUGACGCUGAGGCUCGAAAGUAUGGGUAGCAAACAGGAUUAGAUACCCUGGUAGUCCAUACCGUAAACGAUGAAUGCUAAGUGUUGGAGGGUUUCCGCCCUUCAGUGCUGCAGCUAACGCAUUAAGCAUUCCGCCUGGGGAGUACGGCCGCAAGGCUGAAACUCAAAGGAAUUGACGGGGGCCCGCACAAGCGGUGGAGCAUGUGGUUUAAUUCGAAGCUACGCGAAGAACCUUACCAGGUCUUGACAUACUAUGCAAAUCUAAGAGAUUAGACGUUCCCUUCGGGGACAUGGAUACAGGUGGUGCAUGGUUGUCGUCAGCUCGUGUCGUGAGAUGUUGGGUUAAGUCCCGCAACGAGCGCAACCCUUAUUAUCAGUUGCCAGCAUUAAGUUGGGCACUCUGGUGAGACUGCCGGUGACAAACCGGAGGAAGGUGGGGAUGACGUCAAAUCAUCAUGCCCCUUAUGACCUGGGCUACACACGUGCUACAAUGGAUGGUACAACGAGUUGCGAACUCGCGAGAGUAAGCUAAUCUCUUAAAGCCAUUCUCAGUUCGGAUUGUAGGCUGCAACUCGCCUACAUGAAGUCGGAAUCGCUAGUAAUCGCGGAUCAGCAUGCCGCGGUGAAUACGUUCCCGGGCCUUGUACACACCGCCCGUCACACCAUGAGAGUUUGUAACACCCAAAGUCGGUGGGGUAACCUUUUAGA
rnacentral:rRNA from 2 species